CAAAUCUCCCGCCUGCUCUCCGCAUCCCCACGCCAAACCUGCCCCCAAGGUCCCUGGGGCCCCGCCCCUCGCCACAGCCACCCCCGACAGAGGACCCCGCCUCCGCCACAGCAGAGGCUCCGCCCCUUUCUGCUCCCUCCCUUUCCCGGGCCGCUGAACCCCAUCUCUAGCUGCGCCCUAGAGCACACGGCCCCUGCCCCGCUGUCCCCUCUCCGUUCCCCGUCCCAUCCCUCAGUCUGUCGGGGCUCCACCUCCCAGUCCCUGUCCCCGGUCCCCACAGCCCAGCCCUGCUCUUCUCGCAGGGCCUCACUGUGACGCGCCCCAGGGCCACCCCGCCACGCCACGCCACGCCAGCCCUGUCCCGCCUGCAGCUGGCGCGGCCUCCCCAGUCUGCCCCCGACCUACGUCCCUGCAGGAGCCACAGGAAGGUGGCACCUGUGAGUCUGCACCGGCCCCUCUCCUGGAGGACAGACACAGCCCCUCUGGCAUCUGCCUGGGGAGAAGAGCCCAGCUGGAGCUCAGCCUCUCAGCUCGACUUCCUUGGGAGUGCACAGCCUGCCCCAUUGUACAUGGCAGCCUCCAGCUGAACUCCAACUUGUGAUCCUCCUAUCUCAGCCUCCCGGAGAGUACUGGGAUUACAGACAGGUGCAGCCCUCAAUCACUGUGACAGUCCACAUGGCUGGACACAUGUGCACCCCCAGGAGGGGCAUGUCCCUGCAUGUGCCAACCCACAUCCUUGUAGGUGACAUAAAGCCACCUGUGCGGUACCAGGCUCGGGGCCGGAGACCAGGUCCAAAGCCCUGGUCUUCAGCUCCGACACUGCAGGCUUGGACAGGUGGCCGGGCCCCUCACUUAGAGUGGAUGCACGUGCCUGUGCACACCCGCCUCACCCCUGCUCGACAUUUGUGUGGGAUGAGCGUCCGUGGGCACUGUGCUGGGUGACAACCAUCUGCCUCCGCGGGUCUGGGGCAGGUGAUGGCAGCGGGGAGACAGAACUCUUAGCAGAGCCACCCCCGUGAGAGACCAGGGCUGCUGUUCCAGUGGGGGCCAGGCCAGGCCGCCCACGACGUAGAUGCGUGGGUUUUGCUCGCUCCUUCCUUCCUUCUCCAUUGGUUGAUUGUGGUGUGGGGUGAGUGUAAACCCAAGGCUGUUGCCUAACCCCAUCCCAUUUUGAUCUUUAUCUUGAGACAUCUCCCUGAGCCUGGGCUCAAAGUUGCAAUCCUUCUGCCUCAGCCUCCCAGAGUGCCGGCUCUGUUUAUCUUUUUAAGGAUCCAGCAGAUUCCUGUGGGCCAAGCUGCUGCUAGAUCCCCACCCAUGAGGAGGCCCUGGCAGGCAGUGGGGGAUCCCAGCUGGAGCUCAGAGAAGGGCGGGGCUAACUGAGCUUGGGGAGCACAGCACCCCCAUAACCCUUCCCCAUCCCCUACCAGCUAUUCGGGGGACCACUGUCCCUGCAGCACACACAGUGGAAGGAGAAAAAGAAUAAAAAGAACGCCCGCCUGCACCUGCUCCCUCCCAGACAUCUCUGCAUGUCUUCAGCGCCCAUCACUUCCAUUUUUGUGUCCCCCUCACGGGAGGUCACCCAAACCCACAGUGGUCAUGGGAGCACACAGCGGGCAUGGGGUACAUGCCUGUCAUCCCUGCACUAUGGGAGGAUAAAGUUCAAGCCCAGCCGGAGCAACUUAGCCAGACUUUAUCUCAAAAAAAAAAAAAGGGCAGGGGGUUUAGCUUCAGUUCGAGAGUCCUGUGUCCAGUCCUCAGUACCACACACACUCAGGGCCCGGAGACUCUGCAGACGCCGACCGGGUGGACGC
ensembl:lncRNA